UACGUAGGUGGCAAGCGUUGUUCGGAAUUACUGGGCGUAAAGCGCGCGCAGGCGGCCUCUUAAGUCUGAUGUGAAAUCCCCGGGCUCAACCGGGGAGGGCCAUUGGAAACUGGGAGGCUUGAGUAUGGGAGAGAAGAGUGGAAUUCCACGUGUAGCGGUGAAAUGCGUAGAGAUGUGGAGGAACACCAAUGGCGAAGGCGGCUCUUUGGCCUAUAACUGACGCUGAGGUGCGAAAGCGUGGGGAGCAAACAGG
rnacentral:misc_RNA from 1 species